rnacentral:lncRNA from 10 species
CAUUCGCCACACACAGGUAUCACUCAUCCUUUCUUCAGACCAUGCUUUAUCAUCAUUUCCUCAUUGCUUAAGUCAUUCUUAGGGCUCCUCAGGACCCUGCAGUAAACAGCAUCUGCAAUGUCGCCGCCUCUGAGCGACACUCCUGUGUGGGUGACUUGGCCCUUCCCAGUCUCUGGGCCCCUCCAAGACGGCCCCCAGCCCAGUUCUAAGGAAAACAAAGUUCUUGUGAGUGGCCAGGGAGAGGCUUCUAAUUGGAUUCAGUCAGGCUGCUUCCUGCUGACAUUUGGUGGGUGGUGACAUUCGGCAGGUGAGGGACUAGGUUAGAAAGUCGCCAAGCAGGCCCAGGCCUCGGGAGAGGGAGUUUAACCUGUGUGGCUUUGAUGCUGGUCAGAAGCCACACUCCCUUGAGAGCUGUCCUGAUCUCUAUCCCAAGAGACCAGACACCAGCCGGCGCUCCACUUAAUGCCAGCCAGAGGAAGGCUAAGGGGCUUAGAGUCUGGCUAAGGAUUUCUGUCCCUCUUUGCUUCCCUCCUUACAAACUAGCAGACUGAAAACUCUCCAAAUCACGGAGUGAUGAUUCACAGAGGUUAUUAAGGUGCAGGGAC